UUACACCUAUGGGAGGCAGCAGUGAGGAAUAUUGCACAAUGGGCGAAAGCCUGAUGCAGCAACGCCGCGUGAGCGAUGAAGGCCUUCGGGUCGUAAAGCUCUGUCCUCAAGGAAGAUAAUGACGGUACUUGAGGAGGAAGCCCCGGCUAACUACGUGCCAGCAGCCGCGGUAAUACGUAGGGGGCCAGCGUUAUCCGGAAUUACUGGGCGUAAAGGGUGCGUAGGUGGUUUCUUAAGUCAGAGGUGAAAGGCUACGGCUCAACCGUAGUAAGCCUUUGAAACUGGGAAACUUGAGUGCAGGAGAG
rnacentral:rRNA from 1 species